UACGAAGGGGGCUAGCGUUGCUCGGAAUCACUGGGCGUAAAGGGCGCGUAGGCGGCUUUCUAAGUCAGGGGUGAAAUCCUGGAGCUCAACUCCAGAACUGCCUUUGAUACUGGAGAGCUUGAGUCCGGGAGAGGUGAGUGGAACUCCGAGUGUAGAGGUGAAAUUCGUAGAUAUUCGGAAGAACACCAGUGGCGAAGGCGGCUCACUGGCCCGGUACUGACGCUGAUGUGCGAAAGCGUGGGGAGCAAACAGG
rnacentral:rRNA from 1 species